GAGAGAUCAAUUUUGUUUAGGAAAACAUCUUAAUAAACCACGUGGAAGCGUGGCCAGCAAUGAGACUCUGAAGUUACAAGCCAUCAAUAACCAAGACCAAAACCUAGAAAACCAAGUUUGAAAAAGCCAGAGUCCCAUAGAGGAUCACUUAGGAGACCUGGCAGAAAAGUGAGCAAGUGAGACUGGCUUUGGCUGAAAGCAAUCACACAAAUGAGCUGCGAUGGGGGUGCUGCAGACAGCUAAUACUUUCAGAUAAAUCCCUUCUGUCUAGAAAGAAGGCUGGGAUCCUUUAAGCUGAAGAACAUAGAAAGGAAUCCUUGCAUUCUCAUUCCCUCCCCCAUUUUCACAGCUUGCCUAGCAGAGCCAGGGUGAAAAGUAGCAUGGUCGGCUAAAAUCCCAAUAGAAAUUCUGUUUUUCUAGUUAAACAAACAGAAAAGGGCUCCUGUGGUCCAGAGAGUACUGGAGUAAGUCAGUAGGUAAAUUUUCUCUCUCUUUUUUCCAUCUCCACAUAGCACCCAAAAUGGUCCUGGUCACAGGACCUGGUAGCAACACAGGCAGCCAAAACUCCAAAAGAACCCCGGUCUAUUGAGCCAGAGGAUGAGGAAUAGAAAACAUAUAGGUAGGUGACUAUGG
rnacentral:lncRNA from 10 species